UACGUAGGGGCCGAGCGUUGUCCGGAGUUAUUGGGCGUAAAGCGCGCGCAGGCGGCUUCGCGCGCCCGCCGUGAAAGCCCCCGGCUUAACCGGGGAGAGUCGGUGGGGACGGCGGAGCUUGAGGGCGGGAGAGGUCGGUGGAAUUCCCGGUGUAGUGGUGAAAUGCGUAGAGAUCAGGAGGAACACCAAUGGCGAAGGCAGCUCGCUGGGACGUGACUGACGCUGAGACGCGAAAGCGUGGGGAGCAAACAGG
rnacentral:rRNA from 1 species